UGGGGAAUAUUGCGCAAUGGGCGAAAGCCUGACGCAGCGACGCCGCGUGAGGGAUGAAGGUUUUCGUAUCGUAAACCUCUGUCAGAAGGGAAGAAACCGCACUGUGCUAAUCAGCAGUGCCUUGACGGUACCUUCAAAGGAAGCACCGGCUAACUCCGUGCCAGCAGCCGCGGUAAUACGGAGGGUGCAAGCGUUAAUCGGAAUUACUGGGCGUAAAGCGCACGUAGGCUGCUUUGUAAGUCAGGGGUGAAAUCCCGCGGCUCAACCGUGGAACUGCCUUUGAUACUGCUUAGCUUGAAUCCGGGAGAGGGUGGCGGAAUUCCAGGUGUAGGAGUGAAAUCCGUAGAUAUCUGGAGGAACAUCAGUGGCGAAGGCGGCCACCUGGACCGGUAUUGACGCUGAGGUGCGAAAGCGUGGGGAGCAAACAGG
rnacentral:rRNA from 1 species